rnacentral:misc_RNA from 1 species
GCCAGUUCACAGCGACUCCCAACCCGUGAGAACCUUACCGCAUCCUUUCCGAGAGAGAGCGCCCGUUGCCUCCUGCCGGGCGGCGUGCCCUCCAUCCCCCCUCCCCUCUGCGGGAGGGAGGGCGGACGGGCGCCCGCCCGCCGGGGGCGCGGCGCGGCCGCUCCCUCCCGCCGCGAACCUUCUUUGCAGUAUAUUUGUAUCGUCUGAGCAAACCACAGAAUCGUUA